ACGGGAGGCAGCAGUAGGGAAUCUUGGACAAUGGGGGCAACCCUGAUCCAGCCAUGCCGCGUGAGUGAAGAAGGCCUUAGGGUCGUAAAGCUCUUUCGCCUGUGAUGAUAAUGACAGUAGCAGGUAAAGAAACCCCGGCUAACUCCGUGCCAGCAGCCGCGGUAAUACGGAGGGGGUUAGCGUUGUUCGGAAUUACUGGGCGUAAAGCGCGCGUAGGCGGAUUGGAAAGUUAGAGGUGAAAUCCCGGGGCUCAACCCCGGAACGGCCUUUAAAACUCCCAGUCUAGAGUUCGAGAGAGGUGAGUGGAAUUCCAAGUGUAGAGGUGAAAUUCGUAGAUAUUUGGAGGAACACCAGUGGCGAAGGCGGCUCACUGGCUCGAUACUGACGCUGAGGUGCGAAAGUGUGGGGAGCAAACAGGAUUAGAUACCCUGGUAGUCCACACCGUAAACGAUGAAUGCCAGUCGUCGGAUAGUAUACUAUUCGGUGACACACCUAACGGAUUAAGCAUUCCGCCUGGGGAGUACCGGUCGCAAGAUUAAAACUCAAAUGAAUGACCGG
rnacentral:rRNA from 1 species